rnacentral:rRNA from 1 species
AGUGAACGCUGGCGGUAGGCCUAACACAUGCAAGUCGAACGGCAGCACAGUAAGAGCUUGCUCUUACGGGUGGCGAGUGGCGGACGGGUGAGGAAUACAUCGGAAUCUACUUUUUCGUGGGGGAUAACGUAGGGAAACUUACGCUAAUACCGCAUACGACCUACGGGUGAAAGCAGGGGAUCUUCGGACCUUGCGCGAUUGAAUGAGCCGAUGUCGGAUUAGCUAGUUGGCGGGGUAAAGGCCCACCAAGGCGACGAUCCGUAGCUGGUCUGAGAGGAUGACCAGCCACACUGGAACUGAGACACGGUCCAGACUCCUACGGGAGGCAGCAGUGGGGAAUAUUGGGCAAUGGGCGCAAGCCUGAUCCAGCCAUACCGCGUGGGUGAAGAAGGCCUUCGGGUUGUAAAGCCCUUUUGUUGGGAAAGAAAAGCAGCAGGUUAAUACCCCGCUGUUCUGACGGUACCCAAAGAAUAAGCACCGGCUAACUUCGUG